ensembl:lncRNA
GGAUGACAGAGGAUGAGAUGGUUGGAUGGCAUCAUCAACUUGGUGGACAUGAGUCUGAGUAAGCUCCGGGAGUUGGUGAUGGCAGGGAAGCCUGCUGUGCUGUAGUCCAUGGGGUUGCAAAGAGUCAGACAUGACUGAGCGACUGAACUGAACUGAACUGAUAUAUAUACACAGAAAGAGGUAUAAAGAAAACAUGCUUCUGACAUGGACUCUCCUCUUGUUCUUCCUAAUGGACCAGCCUUCCUUCUCUGAGGCCCAAGACCUCCUCCGUCACCAAACUGACAGGCCCAGAACGAAGAUCUCUG